CACUAAGGCACGAAAGCGUGGGGAGCAAACGGGAUUAGAUACCCCGGUAGUCCACGCCGUAAACUAUGGAUGCUAGCUGUUAGAGGUAUCGACCCCUCUAGUAGCGAAGCUAACGCGUUAAGCAUCCCGCCUGUGGAGUACGGUCGCAAGACUAAAACAUAAAGGAAUUGACGGGGACCCGCACAAGCGGUGGAGCGUGUUGUUUAAUUCGAUGGUAAGCGAAGAACCUUACCCAGGCUUGACAUCCUUGGAAUUUCUCCGAAAGGAGAGAGUGCCUUUGGAACCAAGUGACAGGUGUUGCAUGGCCGUCGUCAGCUCGUGUCGUGAGAUGUUUGGUUAAGUCCAUCAACGAGCGCAACCCUUGUGAUUAGUUGAAUUUUUCUAAUCAGACUGCCCUGGCAACAGGGAGGAAGGGGGGGAUGAUGUCAGGUCAGUAUUACCCUUACGUCUGGGGCUACAAACACGCUACAAUGGCCAGUACAAAGGGCUGCCAAGUCGCGAGACGGAGCAAAUCCCAUCAAAGCCGGUCUCAGUUCGGAUAGCAGGCUGAAACUCGCCUGCUUGAAGCUGGAAUCGCUAGUAACGGUAGGUCAGCACACUACCGUGAAUACGUUCCCGGGUCUUGUACACACCGCCCGUCAAACCAUGAAAGUCGCCAAUACCUGACGUGUUGCCUUCGUGCAGCCCUAAGGUAGGGGAGAUGAUUGGGUUAAGUCGUAACAAGGUAACCAA
rnacentral:rRNA from 1 species